rnacentral:Y_RNA from 1 species
GGCUGGUCUGAAGGUAGUGAGUUAUCUCACUUGAUUGUUCACGGGCAGUUACAGAUUGAACUCCUUCCUUGAAUCUUUCCCCCUUCUCACUACUGUACUUGACUAGUCUUAA